CUGGAAACUCCACUGAAACUUCCCUCUGCGACAUCAGUGACAUAGCUCUCAGCAUCACAGCACAAGCCACCACAGCGCACCAAGCUGACACAACCACAUUUUGGAAGCACUGUGAAUGAGUCCGACUCCAAAGCCUUGCCUUUCAAGGAGGAAGACAACUCAUGGGGUCAAGACUCCUGUUCUCUAUAAAACCCAGAUGAAGAACAGUAUCGCAUGAAGCUCAGAGCCGCUCCCUGGAGAUCAUGAUGUGGCUACUGUUCUGAAGCCGACCACAGCUCUAGAUGGCCGCCAGGAAAACUCAUCCGGCUUGGAUGCCCGGUUUGGCCAAAAUAACAAAAUGGCCAUGGACCUACCCAGCUGUUUGUGUGAAGAAAAUGGAGUGGAAGUGGGAGAGGGAGCCAGGA